rnacentral:rRNA from 1 species
UACGUAGGUGACAAGCGUUGUCCGGAUUUACUGGGCGUAAAGAGCGCGCAGGCGGUCGGUCAAGUCGAGUGUGAAAGCCCCCGGCUCAACUGGGGAGGGUCAUUCGAAACUGGUCGACUCGAAGGCAGGAGAGGGUAGUGGAAUUCCCGGUGUAGUGGUGAAAUGCGUAGAUAUCGGGAGGAACACCAGUGGCGAAGGCGACUACCUGGCCUGUUCUUGACGCUGAGGCGCGAAAGCUAGGGGAGCAAACGGG